GAUGAACGCUGGCGGUGUGCUUAACACAUGCAAGUCGAACGGAAAGGCCCAAGCUUGCUUGGGUACUCGAGUGGCGAACGGGUGAGUAACACGUGGGUGAUCUGCCCUGCACUUCGGGAUAAGCCUGGGAAACUGGGUCUAAUACCGGAUAGGACCACUUCUUGGAUGUUGUGGUGGAAAGUUUUUUCGGUGUGGGAUGAGCUCGCGGCCUAUCAGCUUGUUGGUGGGGUAAUGGCCUACCAAGGCGUCGACGGGUAGCCGGCCUGAGAGGGUGUACGGCCACAUUGGGACUGAGAUACGGCCCAGACUCCUACGGGAGGCAGCAGUGGGGAAUAUUGCACAAUGGGCGCAAGCCUGAUGCAGCGACGCCGCGUGGGGGAUGACGGCCUUCGGGUUGUAAACUCCUUUCGCUAGGGACGAAGCGUUUUUGUGACGGUACCUGGAGAAGAAGCACCGGCUAACUACGUG
rnacentral:rRNA from 1 species